GAGGUGGUGCAAGCCUUUGAUCCCAGCACUUGGGAGGCAGAGGCAGGUGGAUCUUUUGAGUUGAAGGACAGCCUGGUUUGCCUAGAGAGUACCAGACUAGCCAGGGCUACACAACGAAACCGUGUCCUGAAAAGA